UAUAAUGAAACAACAUUGUGGAGAGGAAAGCAUUCGGGGAGCCCACGGCUACAAAAACAAGUGAGUGAGAAGAGGUGGGAGGAAGAGAAACUACGCCACCUCCCCUGCAGCCGAGCCGCGCGCAGCAGAGCCUGCCCGAAGCGGGCGACGCCGGGGGCAGGGGGACGGGGUCCUCAGCGCCGGCCCCGGGGACCCCGGGGACCCCGCCGCCGCCGCCGCCGCCGCCGCCGCCGCGGGCACAACUUUCAGCCGGCAGCCUCGGCCACCGCCGCACCUGUCUCCGGAGCCUCCAUCGCUCCUCGUGACGCUCAGAGGGAAAUUCUAGAAGAAUACGCUCCACAGACAUACAUGCGCAUCAUUUUCCUCCUCGCGUGUCGCCCUGGAAGAGGCAGGAGACGGGGAAGGGAGCGGCAGCGUGCGUUCCGCCCCCAGGGAGAAAGAUCAAGACGUUACGCCCCACCCCUCCCGUUUUGUGUACCGAUUCAGCUCGCGGCGAGGCUGCAGGAUUGCAAAAAUACCUGCCUCCAAGAACUCCGGAAGACUUACUUUGUGGGCGCAAAAGUAGUGAGUCAUGCCUGCAGGCUUGGAAAAGAGUUUAUUAGAACCUCUUUGAGAGGCUUCCCAGGCAACCAUUUAUACACUCAUGAAAGGAUGCAGAACGAAGAGAUUCACACUUGGAAAUUUUAA
rnacentral:lncRNA from 1 species